rnacentral:lncRNA from 1 species
CAGGGAUUCUGCCCUGGAACUGAGUGGCAGCCUAGGGGCUGCAGACUGACAUUGCCUCUGCGUUUUCUGUGGUCAAGUUCAGCUCUCAGCAUGAGGAGAGAGUUUGGAUCACCAGCACCUACGGGAGAAGCCAGGCUUGGAGGCAGAGACAGGAGGACUGCUGAUUAACCAUCCUAGCCUAACUGGUGAGUUCCAGGUCCAGUGUGAGACUCUGUUCCAAAAAAAUAAGGUGGAGAGUGACUAAGCCAGGUCUGAUGUCAUCUUUUGGCCUCUGUGUACAUGUGUACACAUUGCACACACACAGGAACACAUGCACAGAGACACAUGCAUACAGACAUAUACACACACAGACAGACAGACACAGACAGGGACAUACAUACAUUCAUACAUACACCUUGGCCCUACUGUGUAAAUUUUGUCUAGUCACUUAACUUCUUUGGGCUUCAAAGCUCAUCCACAAACAACAUGUUAUUAAUGAGGACUUUAUUUGUGAGUUCUGUGACAUCGUGUAAACUGCUGUAUUUGCUCAGAGCAGGAAGG